CCUACGGGAGGCAGCAGUGGGGAAUCUUGCGCAAUGGGCGAAAGCCUGACGCAGCCAUGCCGCGUGAAUGAUGAAGGUCUUAGGAUUGUAAAAUUCUUUCACCGGGGACGAUAAUGACGGUACCCGGAGAAGAAGCCCCGGCUAACUUCGUGCCAGCAGCCGCGGUAAUACGAAGGGGGCUAGCGUUGCUCGGAAUUACUGGGCGUAAAGGGAGCGUAGGCGGAUAGUUUAGUCAGAGGUGAAAGCCCAGGGCUCAACCUUGGAAUUGCCUUUGAUACUGGCUAUCUUGAGUAUAGGAGAGGUAUGCGGAACUCCGAGUGUAGAGGUGAAAUUCGUAGAUAUUCGGAAGAACACCAGUGGCGAAGGCGGCAUACUGGCCCAUUACUGACGCUGAGGCUCGAAAGCGUGGGGAGCAAACAGGAUUAGAUACCCUGGUAGUCCACGCUGUAAACGAUGAGUGCUAGUUGUCGGCAUGCAUGCAUGUCGGUGACGCGAGCUACGACAUAAGACACUCCGCCGUCGGGUAGGUACGGUCGCGAGAAUUAAACUACAAUAGAAGUUAGACGGCGUGAGACGUGACCGAACGGACGACGACGAGGGAGGUUAGG
rnacentral:rRNA from 1 species